ensembl:misc_RNA 7SK 7SK RNA
GGAUGUGAGGGAGAUCUGGCUGCGACCUCUGUCACCCCAUUGAUCGUCAGGGUUGAUUCGGCUAAUCUGGCUGGCUAGGCAGGUGUCCCCUUCCUCCCUCACCUCUCUACGUGUGUCCCUCCCGAAGCGGCACACUUGGUGGAAGAGGACGACCAUCCUAGAUAGAAGAAGUGUAUUGAUCUUCGGUCAAGGGUAUAUGACAGCUGUGGUCCCCUGCUAGAACCUCCAAACAAGCCAAGCUUAGACUCUGGCUGCAUUUUCCUGGGAAGGGUGAGGUAAGGCUUCAGGGGAAGUAAGGAGCUGGCCAGCUGAUCUGGAAAGAUUCUUGUAAAUAGGAAUUGCAA